rnacentral:tRNA from 1 species
GGGGUUGUAGCUUAGUGGUAGAGCACUUGCCUAGCAUGUGUGAGGCACUGGGUUCAAUUCUCAGCAUCACAU